rnacentral:rRNA from 1 species
AUUGAACGCUGGCGGAAUGCUUUACACAUGCAAGUCGAACGGUAGAGGGGCAACCCUUGAGAGUGGCGAACGGGUGAGUAAUGUAUCGGAACAUGCCCAGUCGUGGGGGAUAACGUAGCGAAAGUUACGCUAAUACCGCAUACGAUCUAUGGAUGAAAGCGGGGGAUCGCAAGACCUCGCGCGAUUGGAGUGGCCGAUGUCAGAUUAGGUAGUUGGUGGGGUAAAGGCCUACCAAGCCGACGAUCUGUAGCUGGUCUGAGAGGACGACCAGCCACACUGGGACUGGGACACGGCCCAGACUCCUACGGGAGGCAGCAGUGGGGAAUUUUGGACAAUGGGCGCAAGCCUGAUCCAGCCAUUCCGCGUGCAGGAAGAAGGCCUUCGGGUUGUAAACUGCUUUUGUACGGAACGAAACGCGCUGAGCUAAUACCUCGGCGUAAUGACGGUACCGUAAGAAUAAGCACCGGUUAACUACGUGCCAGCAGCCGCCGUAA